rnacentral:antisense_RNA from 1 species
CGGGCCGUGUACUCCCAGAUGGCCUCGGGGUCGAUCAGUGCCUGUUCGCCGAAGUAGGCGCCGUCGGCCAGCACGCCGAGGACCGCGUCGUCGCCGUAGGGACCCGUGCCGAUCUUCUCGACCUUGCCGUGGGCGAGGAGGAACACCUCCUCCGCCUGGCUGCCGAACUCGGCCAGGACGUCACCGGGCCCGAACUCCCGCUGCUCGCACCGCUGGGCCAGCUCGCCGAGCACGUCGAUGUCCUCGUAGGUCCGCAGGGCCGGCAGCUCGCCCAGCUCCGCGGGGAUGACGGCGACCCGGUCGCCGGUCUUCACGAAGGUGACGCGACCGUCCCCGACCGCGUAGGUGAGCCGCCUGUUCACCCGGUACGUGCCACCCUGCACGUUCACCCAGGGAAGGGUGCGCAGCAGCCAGCGCGAGCUGAUCUCCUGCAUCUGGGGUGUGGACUUCGUGGUGGUGGCCAGGUUCCGGGCAGCGGCCGUGCCGAGACUCUGCUGCGGCUUGUCCU